CUUUGGAAGAGCAGGCAAUGCUCUUAACCUCUGAGCCAUCUCCCCAGCCCCCUGCACUUGCUUUCUUAAAACCACAUUUGCUGUUGCGUUUAUACAGUGGCCUUUAAGUGACUUUCUCUUUUGUUUCACAUGUAUUUGUUGGGAUUUUCCCCCCUCCCCAUAUCUCUUAGUGAAACGUCCCCUCCUGGCCUUCACCAUUCUGGUCCGCCAUGUUUUUAUUCCCUUUCCCUGGUCCAGGUAGCUCCCUGGGAGCAGAGACUCCACCUUAUUCCCCAUCUCUUCUUCCACACCAUGAUGCCAGGGGCUUAGGCUGCCUGCAGGCAGGAGUCUGUCACCAUAGAGGCCCCUGCCACCACACAGUCCCUCCAGCAGUCUCCUGGUCUGUCCAAGGUGAAGUUCUGUGGCAUCAACCCCUCUUCCCGCACUCCUUUGCCCAGGUGACGGGGCUCCAAGGCUAUUAGAUAAUUUUAAUAUCAGCCUAAGAAAGAUUAAUUAGGAAGGCACAUUUUUAGUUUUUUUUUUUUUUCUCUUUUGAAACAGGGUUUCUCUGUGGCUUUGGAGCCUGUCCUGGAACUAGCUCUGUAGACCAGGCUGGUCUCGAACUCACAGAGAUCCACCUGCCUCUGCCUCCCUAGUGCUGGGAUUAAAGGCGUGCGCCACCACCGCCCGGCAAGGAAGGCACAUUUUUAAAAGGUGCCAUUAAUCCCAGAGACAAAUAAGAGAGACUGUGGAUUAUCUGUGUCACUGCAGCCUUCAGGUAGGGUAUAGACUCGUGCAGAUUUACUUUUGAGGCGUAGGCCUGUCUGAACACACUGAGUGUACUCCUUUCUGAGACAAGGGACAGGAAGAAGUGGAGUCUCUCUGAGGGAGCAGAAGAGACGUUCCGUGCGGGUGUCCUUUCCGGGCUGCCAUGUAGCCCCUCAGGUAGCUUCUAGACUUUUUUCAGCUGCACACCCUUCACUCUUUCUCACCCUGUUUAAUCUACCCGGGACGUUAGAGCACAUCCCACUUAGGAACUUCUAAAUGUGCCUGGGGAAAGGCCAAGCCCCUCAAUGUAGCCCACAAGAACCCCGCAGUUGGGCCCCACAUGGUCUGGCUGGUUUUCCUUCUCAUUCAGGCUCUCGUGGCUGUCUCCCAAGCUCCUGUGACAAAGCAGAGUUUCUGGAAGUCUCAGGCUGAAUGACACUUUGGGGGCUUUCCUGUUGACACUUACCUUCUUCUCUUUUAAUGAUCUGUAUUCUUCUUCUCCUAACAGAGAUGCCGAGCUCUUCAACGGUACUCUUGCAUUUCAUUUAUUUAUUUAUUUUUUUGUCUCCUUUCCCCUUCCUUGACUUAAGCCAAGCGCCGCACCGGCUCUGCUACCAGAGACGAUCGAUAACUUGUUGAGAGAAAUUCGUCAGUUCUGGCUUUCCAAGGUGAUGACAGUGGGCUUUGCUUACUGAGACCCAAGCUCCCCCAGCCUCCACGGAGGAGUGAUGGAUCUAGCUAGGAAUACCUGAGGGCUUGGCUGCUGUAACCCGGUCCCCUGGCUGCGGCUCUGUGGCAGGUGGCUUCAGGGGACAGAGCUGAGUUGGUGAAUGACUCAACCUGAGACUGACAGCUGCUGCUCUCUGCCUCGGCUGAUUUUCCCCUUUGCAAACGGUUAUUGGCAAUUGAAACCGCAAAUCUACUUGCUGCUCCCCUACGUAAAUUACAUUUACAUUUAAAUUGUGUAUUCUUCCCAAGAAGGAGGGGAGUAAAUAAGAGGCAGAUUAGGCUUGAGGAGAGGAAAUUGUGCCCCAUAUCAAAUCUGAGACUGAAGUGACAUCUGGCUUUUACUAUUUCCAUUAUUUUGGUUUAAUAACAGCAUGUGGCAUUAAGGGAGGAGAAAAUUGGAUCUACAUUUUAAUAAAAGGAGGAAACUCAGGAUUUAGAUACCUUAUCGAAUUGAAUACCUAGUCGAUUGGCAAUUAAACUCGCCUCAAAAAUGGGAUAAAAUGUCGUCACAGCUUUGGAGAGAAUGAAAACAAAACAAGCCAGUGCCCAGAACCACAAGGCUAAGACUGACAGGAAGGCUGGGCGCAUUGGCACCAACUGUUUCAGGACUUCACCGGGCACGGGGAUUCUCAGACGGAGCAGGGCUGACAAUGGCACCAUGCAUAUGCAUGAGGGGGAGCUUCACGAGCAUGGUCUGUCUGAAGACAAGCACACAAAACAGGGAGCUCACGCCAGAGAUGGUGUCUGGAGUCGGCUGAGUUUAACCCUACGGGUUUCCAGUUCCGGGGGUCUGACCACGAACACGUCUCACAAACGUCUGUCUCCUUCCAACGGUCUCGCGGUUGAAAACGGAAGUGCUUCCACUUGCUGCCCGAUUUUUGUUGAAAGCAAUUUUGGGCCAUGUAAACAAAAUGCUUCCGCAUCUUAAUAAGUCAAGCCUAUCGUUUAUUUGCUUUCAUUGAAACAAAUGUGUCAAUUUUCCAAGUCUUUGUCUGGUGAAGUCAGUGUUUGGAUGUUGAUAAAUGAUCACAUCGUGUGUUUGGAAGCUGGGGCUCUAUUCAGAACGUAGGAGUUGGGAGCACUCACGGUCUGGGAGCACUCAGACCGCCUUCCUAGCCGUCCACCCCAAGAUGCUCCGCUCUUUCCCAGGGCCUGGAAAAGGCUGAAAUUAUAGGACUACAAUUGAAGGGUAAAGGGGGUGGAUCCUCCAGGCGGAAACUCUGAGGCCAGGGCUCAGAAAUAAUUAAAAUAAUGGAAACCCAUAGGAUUUCCUGGGUGCCAAGUACUUUAUGUGUUUUAAUUCACGAAGGCCUCAUGCCCGUCUCAUGGGGGAAAGUUCCAGCUGUCAUUGGCACUGCAGAUAAAGGGAGAACUCAGUCAUAUGCAGAUGGUGAGGGAUGGAGCUGGGGUUCGAGUCUAGACAGGCCGUUCCUCUGUUUUUUUUUUUUUUAAACCCUUUCAGAUGGCUCCCUUUUCCCUGGAGUUUAAGGAGCACAUUGUGUUUUCUCAGUUACAUUUUGUCUCACAUAAUUGUUUUGAAAGCCACAGCAGUUUUGCUUGAAAGACUCCAGCUACUAGUAUGACGGCUCUUUCCCUAAAAUAAAGCAACAGUAAGACCUAGGUUUUGCAAUGUAAUGAUAUGGCUCAGCUGCCUUGUGGGGAUCCGGAGAAUGGAAUGAGACAUGAACGUGUUUUAAAGAGGUCUAAACCAUGAGACUUCGGUACGCUCAGAACAUACCCUCCAUCCCCAGUCUUCCUUUUUCUUUCUUCUAUUAAAAAAAAAUCUAUUGCACAUGUAUGUGUGAUAUGUUUGGACAGUCGCAUGCCAUAGUGUGGGUGUGGUGUGGAGGUUGGAGGAUGGGCAAUUUCCAGGUCUCCUAGGAAUGGAAGUCAAGCCAUUAGGCUUAGUGGCAAGUGACUUUACUUGUUGAGCCCUCUUGCCAGCCCUGAUUCUUUUUUUUUAUUCUUUUUAAAGUUUAUUUAUGUCUAUAUUUUUUAAUGUUAAGAGUGCUCUGUCAGCAUGUACACCUGCAUGCCUCAAGGGGGCAGCAAAUCCCUUUACAGAUGGUUGUGAGUCACCGCUUGUGUUGCUGGGAAUUGAGCACAGGACCUCUGGAAGAGCAGUGCUCUUAGCUGCUAUGCCAUCUCUCCAGCCCCUGUUUUUUGUUUGUUUUGUUUUUCAAGACAGGGUUUCUCUGUGUAGCCCUGGCUCUUUUGGAACUCACUCUGUAGACUAGGUUGACCUCGAAUUCACAGAGGUCCGCCUGCCUCUGCCUCCCGAGUGCUGGGAUUAAAGGCGUGCACCACCAUAAAAAUCCUUCACGUGGACCGAUAUCUCUUCCACUUUCUGGUUUCCCUGUGAGUCUUUUGAUGGUGGCCCGGAUGCUGGCAUUUGCUUGACUUCUCGUUUCUCCUCCCAUGUUUCUUGGCACCAUUUAGUCACGUGCAGUUCCUUCCUCCUGUGCGCCAUAGUGACUGUAGCCUCUUCAGAUCUUGCGCCACGGCACUCCACCUCUGAAGCUAGCCAGUGCCUCCCUCUGUUUGAACUCAGCUUAAGUCCUUCACCUAAUUUCCCCAUCAGUGUUGCUGGGCCGGAGGGAGGUCGCUGAUGUCACACUGUCAGUAUUGUGAUUACCCUCAUAUCUAACAGGCAAGGAAGGGACAGUUGUUCCUGGCAACCCUUGGGUGAGUCUCACACAGCUUAGGUAACCGACUCGCUGCCUGGCUGCAUAGACUUCCCACAACCAUGUGAAGGGGAGUCCGCUGUCAGAGAGGAGGCCAGCAUCUAUCAGUAUGGUGGAUGUGCAGUGUCUGAGUGACUGUGAUCUGCACAAGCAACUGGAGAAGCUUGGAUUUUCAGCGGGCCCAAUACUGCCUUCCACCAGAAAAGCAUACGAGAAAAAGUUGGUGCAAUUGUUGGUCUCGCCUCCCUGUGAACAACCUGCCAUGAAGAGACCCAAAAAACUGCACGGAUCUGACCACAGCGAUGGCAGUGAAGAUCCAGCGGUAAAUAUCGUUUUGAAAGGAAAUUUCAAUUUCUCGAAAGACAAAGGCAAGGAAUGCAAAAAUAAACCAGUCAAUGAAACGAAAUGGCAGCAGGCAGACAUGGGGGAGCCAAACUCUGACUGUAAAAACUGGAAGGUGCUAAUUAAGAGACGAGACGCUUCUAGUGAUAAAAGAAAAAUCCUAGACAUCUACUACCUGAGCCAGAAGCCCACAAAGGUGGUCAGGCAUGCUGCGAGACCAAACCCAAGGAUGGAGGAUGGCUGUGCCACCGAAGAGGACUGCUGCCAGGGGAACCCGAGCCUGGAGAGCAGCUUCCCAUGGAGCUUGAAGCUGGCCAUCUUUGGCAUUUUCAUCAUUGUGUUGUUUGUCUACAUAACUGUGGAAAAGAAGCCGCUCUUGCGUUAAACCCUUUAGGAGCAAAGCAGAGAAGGGCCUUAGCUACAGCCAGGCAGCCCCUCCCACUGCCCCAAAUGUCCCCGCCCCUGCCUCAGACGCCCCCGCCCUAUACUGGCUCUCCUGGGCUGUGUCUGGGUUCAUCUAGGUGGAGGAGCAAGGGCAGAACCAGGCAGCAUGCUAGGUGCACGACAGUCUGUAAGUCAAGAAAGCCAUCAUUAAAGGUGCUAACACAUCAGAGCGCUCUUCUGUCAAGGAAACUGCCCGGGUCUGCUCCCUCCCUCCCUCCUUCCUCUGUUUUGUUCCUGCCCUCUUUUCCCCCAAAACAAAGAGGCUUCACAUUCUUAUACCAGUCCACUUGCUAGUGCAGAACGUGAAACAAAGAGAAAAUUAUAUUCCUGAUAAAAUGUGUGCAGUUAGCCAGACGUGGUGACAUUUCCAGUUUGGCCUGGCGCUGACAGUGACCUUGAUAGAGCACGAAUCUGUUCCUCCUCCGCUGCAGCCCCCCAGCCUCAGACGGGGCUUCUUCUCCACUGACUUUGUCUCUGGUUUUCAUCAGAACCAUUUGGGGAAGAGGAGGAGUUUUCCGUUUUCUGUUGGGGCUCGGUGACUUUUCCUGGGAAGAUGGAAAUAAUGUCUGCUUGCCCCAGAGAGGGGAGAGGGGACUGACCAAAGAAAAAUAAACAAGUGUAGGAAUCCAGUCUAGCUUGGCGACCCUACGAGUUUAUUGUGGUUAUUGCGGGACUUUCUGCAUGGGGUGGUACUGCCCACACUGUGUUGUCAGCCAUUAACCAAGAAAACAUCCCACAGACAAGCCCACGGGCCAACUGAUGGAGGCGGUUCUUCAAUAGAGGGUUCUGCUUCACAGUCCCCCUCCCUCUUCAGCCCAAAGAGCAAUCAGGGUUCCCUGCCCUGUGGGAAGUCCAAGGACCACCCACCUCCAUCCAGGUCUAGUAAGUAAAUAGGACCUUACUCAGACGGAUCAGCUGCAGAAGAUACUGUCGUCAUCCACGAGCUAGCGACUUCUGAGCUACCUGGAGAGAAACCCCAGGUAGACGAGAGGAAAGCUCUUCCGAGGCCGGCCUCUAGAAGCUUGUGUCUCCUCGGCCCUGGGCAGCAGCCGGUGUUACAGCUCAAAGACCCUCAGCUCCCAAGACUUCACAGCUCUCUGGGACUCCUGUGGCCAGAGCCCUCAGGCUCGCCUCUCGGGCUCCUUACAGCUUCAGUCAGCUCCCUGCUUUCUUGUCAUCUCUCUUCUGCUCCCCUUUUCUUUUCUUGGUCACUGCUGGACUUUCAGCCGCUCCUUCAGUUGUCCAUGGCUGCCAGCAGGACGGAUAACUCAGUACACGCCUUCCUUAGGACAGCAUUUGGAAGCCAGAUACCUAGGCGGUCAUUCAGUAACUGGGCCUCAGUGUAGCUAGGGUCACUCCGACCUGGAUAUCCCUGAGGUGGGAUGCCUUUGAGCAGAUGGGCUCUGUGGGUAGACCAGCAGGCGGUCCCAGGCCACAUUGCCAUACCAGAACCACCUGAUGGGUCCUAGACCUCUGCAGACGAGCACUGCUUCAGCUGCCAAGCAGUCCCAUCAAGGUCUUCCCCAGCUCUUCUUUCUCGAUCAAGUGGGCAUUUUGGGCUGUGACGUCAGGGCACACCGAGCUCCAGAGCCAGGUUCUUGUGGUAAGUAAGCUGGUUGUUGCCAAGCCUCGUGGUUGGUAUCAGAAACAGCUGCUAGCCACUAAGGCUGCCUCUGAGGCUACCAGAUGUGGUCAAGCUGUUCAGCAGCUGCAGCUGGAAGCCUGGGACUCGGGGGCAGUGCCAGACACUGCUGUUUUUCCUAAUUUAACUUUUGACUCUGGAUUUCAUGUCAUGCAUCUCGGUCCCAUGCCUCAUCUCCCCAUUCCUUUGUAUCCGCCCUCUGCCCUUGUAACCUUGCCGUACAGGAUAAAAUAAAAUUUAAAAGAAA